rnacentral:rRNA from 1 species
GAUCCUGGCUCAGGAUGAACGCUGGCGGCGUGCCUAACACAUGCAAGUCGAACGGAAAGUAAGCGCUUCGGAGACUUCGGUCAAUGUAUGCUUGCUUUAGUGGCGGACGGGUGAGUAACGCGUGGAUAACCUGCCAUAUACAGGGGGAUAACAGUUAGAAAUGACUGCUAAUACCGCAUAAGCGCACGGUCUCGCAUGGGACAGGUGUGAAAAAACUCCGGUGGUAUAUGAUGGAUCCGCGUCUGAUUAGCCAGUUGGCGGGGUAACGGCCCACCAAAGCGACGAUCAGUAGCCGGCCUGAGAGGGUGAACGGCCACAUUGGGACUGAGACACGGCCCAAACUCCUACGGGAGGCAGCAGUGGGGGAUAUUGCACAAUGGGGGAAACCCUGAUGCAAGCGACGCCGCGUGAGUGAAGGAGUAUUUCGGUAUGUAAAGCUCUAUCAGCAGGGAAGAUAAUGACGGUACCUGACUAAGAAGCACCGGCUAAAUACGUGCCAGCCGCCGC